UACGAAGGGGGCUAGCGUUGCUCGGAAUCACUGGGCGUAAAGCGCACGUAGGCGGAUUGUUAAGUCAGGGGUGAAAUCCUGGAGCUCAACUCCAGAACUGCCUUUGAUACUGGCGAUCUCGAGUCCGGGAGAGGUGAGUGGAACUGCGAGUGUAGAGGUGAAAUUCGUAGAUAUUAGGAAGAACACCAGUGGCGAAGGCGGCUCACUGGUCCGGUACUGACGCUGAGAUGCGAAAGCGUGGGGAGCAAACAGG
rnacentral:rRNA from 1 species